rnacentral:lncRNA from 1 species
CUCAUCUGCACCCAAGAGUGUACACACGGGUAUUAAAUGUGUCAUCAAAUGAAGAUGAGGUCAUGCUGGAUGAUGGUGGGCCCUCAAUCCAAUAUGAGUAGUGUUCAUUAAAGAAGAAAAAAAAUUGGACCUAAAGAUACAGAAAAACAGGAAGAAGACCACAUGAUGAUGGGGGCAGAAAUUGGAGUGUGCAGCUCCAAAUCAAGGAACACCAAGGAUUGCUGCUGCCACCGGAAGCCAGGGGAGAAGCAUGGAAUGGGUUCUGCCUGAGACCCUCCAGAAGGACCCAAUCCUAUCAUCAUCUUGAUUUCAG